UGGCGACCGGCGCACGGGUGAGUAACACGUAUCCAACCUGCCGUCUACUCUUGGACAGCCUUCUGAAAGGAAGAUUAAUACAAGAUGGCAUCAUGAGUCCGCAUGUUCACAUGAUUAAAGGUAUUCCGGUAGACGAUGGGGAUGCGUUCCAUUAGAUAGUAGGCGGGGUAACGGCCCACCUAGUCUUCGAUGGAUAGGGGUUCUGAGAGGAAGGUCCCCCACAUUGGAACUGAGACACGGUCCAAACUCCUACGGGAGGCAGCAGUGAGGAAUAUUGGUCAAUGGGCGAGAGCCUGAACCAGCCAAGUAGCGUGAAGGAUGACUGCCCUAUGGGUUGUAAACUUCUUUUAUAAAGGAAUAAAGUCGGGUAUGCAUACCCGUUUGCAUGUACUUUAUGAAUAAGGAUCGGCUAACUCCGUGCCAGCAGCCGCGGUAAUACGGAGGAUCCGAGCGUUAUCCGGAUUUAUUGGGUUUAAAGGGAGCGUAGAUGGAUGUUUAAGUCAGUUGUGAAAGUUUGCGGCUCAACCGUAAAAUUGCAGUUGAUACUGGAUAUCUUGAGUGCAGUUGAGGCAGGCGGAAUUCGUGGUGUAGCGGUGAAAUGCUUAGAUAUCACGAAGAACUCCGAUUGCGAAGGCAGCCUGCUAAGCUGCA
rnacentral:rRNA from 1 species